rnacentral:sRNA from 1 species
AAAAGGCAGUUUCAUUAUGGUGGUAUACCAACCUCCUGUUCUGGAACUUCCAGUUCCAAUCGAAGCAUAUAGAUCCGUAAAUAGAUUUGUAUGUAUAGCCACUUCAGCCGUGCUCGUCCUUUCUCGAAAGUAUCUUUUUUCUGGGAACAUGGUUAA